UGAGACGCAGCGGAGCGGAGGUGGAGUGCCUGGAUUAAAACAGGACAUAUUAGCAGCAUUUAACCUUCAGUUACUCUUUAUGUAGUUAGAUAGGAAUCAUGUUUUUUUUUAGCUGAAAAACCUUACACCAGAGAGAGACAGCCAGGUUCAUAAUGGAUAUGAGGAAGUUUUUUCAAAAACAGGAGCCACAUUCAGUCCAAAGAGGGAGAGAGGAAAGAGGGGAACAUGAGGAGAAAAUACAAGGUCAGGAAGAACCAGCAUCCAGGUUUUCCAGCUGAGACUGCCCGUGACUGAUCUUUACCCUCUCUGGAUGAACUGCACAGCUCUCGCAGGAAAGCAGGAAGCGUCAUAACAGACUCGUCACACCGCGCUCAGUUCCCACUGCUGCCCACAGGAAACAGAUACAGGAGCGUCAGAAGAAAGACUAACAGAGCUGUUUGCACCCCUGAGCUGUUCGGCCUUUAAACCACAUGAACCACCUCCAUUCAGCCUGACAACAACAGCACUGUUACAGGAAGUCACCUCCGAGCUCAAUAAUAAUAAUAAUAAAAAUAAUAAUAAUAAUAAUGGAUUGGAUUUCAUAUAGCGCUUUUCAAGGCACCCAAAGCGCUUUACAAUGCCACUAUUCAUUCACUCUCACAUUCACACACUGGUGGAGGCAAGCUACUGUUGUAGCCACAGCUGCCCUGGGGCAGACUGACAGAGGCGAGGCUGCCAUAUCGCGCCAUCGGCCCCUCUGGCCAACACCAGUAGGUGGUAGGGUAAAGUGUCUUGCCCAAGGACACAACGACCAGGACAGAGAGCCCGGGGAUCGAACCGGCGACCUUCCGGUUGCAGAUACGCUUCCCAACCCCCUUGAGCCACGGUCAACCAUCAGUCAGACUGACUGAUUCAUCUUGA
ensembl:lncRNA